rnacentral:ncRNA from 1 species
GGAUUCCCGCCGAGCAAGAACUAGCCAUUCACUCGUAGCGAGUCUUGGAGGGCUAAAGGUAACUUUAGUCUUUAAGCGUAGACAGCUAGAUAGUGGGCCGAAAGCCUUGUGGUUGAAGGGAUUGAGCUCCAUAAUGAUUUGAAUUUGUGAGGGCUGAUGUUUUAAACGUUACAGAAAGCAACAUUUUAAGCUUCGAUAUGGCGAGAAACUUAAAACCUCACUGGAGUCCUAGACCU